AUUAAAAGCUGAUGGUUUGUCAAGGAUCCUCGCGAUCUUUAGAAAUGAGGCUCAGAGCAGCAAGGGGGAGAUCAGCAUCUCCAUGUCCCAGCCAUGAGUCCGUGAGGAGUGAUCAGUCAAUGGGUCAUCCAGAGGAUUUAAAAGAAUCCAGCUCAGAGCAGCAGGGAAGAUCCUCUUCAUGUCCCAACCAUUCUAAUUUGUUG